rnacentral:rRNA from 1 species
CCUACGGGAGGCAGCAGUGGGGGAUAUUGCACAAUGGGGGAAACCCUGAUGCAGCGACGCCGCGUGGGUGAAGAAGCGCCUCGGCGCGUAAAGCUCUGUCAGCAGGGAAGAAAAUGACGGUACCUGAAGAAGAAGCCCCGGCGAACUACGUGCCAGCAGCCGCGGUAAAACGUAGGGGGCAAGCGUUAUCCGGAUUUACUGGGUGUAAAGGGGGCGCAGACGGGGAUGCAAGCCAGGAGUGAAAGCCCUGGGCCCAACCCCGGGACUGCGCUUGGAACUGGGUGGCUAGAGUGCAGGAGGGGCAGGCGGAAUGCCUGGUGUAGCGGUGAAAUGCGUAGAUAUCAGGAGGAACACCGGUGGCGAAGGCGGCCUGCUGGACUGCAACUGACGUUGAGGCCCGAAAGCGUGGGGAGCAAACAGGAUUAGAUACCCCUGUAGUC